AUUGAACGCUGGCGGUAUGCUUAACACAUGCAAGUCGAACGCAGCAUGAGGAAAGUUUACUUUUUUCGGUGGCGAGUGGCGGACGGGUGAGUAAUGCAUAGGAAUCUACCUUUUAGUCUAGGAUAACUACCCGAAAGGGUGGCUAAUACUGGAUGUGGACUACGGUUUAAAGCAGGGGACCUUCGGGCCUUGCGCUAAGAGAUGAGCCUAUGUGGGAUUAGCUAGUUGGUGAGGUAAUGGCUCACCAAGGCGACGAUCUCUAGCUGGUUUGAGAGGAUGAUCAGCCACACUGGGAAUGAGACACGGCCCAGACUCUUACGGGAGGCAGCAGUGGGGAAUAUUGGACAAUGGGCGAAAGCCUGAUCCAGCAAUACCGCGUGUGUGAAGAAGGCCCUAGGGUUGUAAAGCACUUUUGUUAGGGAGAACGGGUUUUACUACUAAUACUAGUAGAAUUUGAUGUUAC
rnacentral:rRNA from 1 species